UCCCUCUGGCAAUGGGCAGAGACACCUUGUUGGUGAUAUUGUUCUUAUAUCAGUCAGGGGAAGACCAUUCAUUUAUUCAUCUUAGCUUGAUGCCUGUUUUGGUAGCCAAAACCCAAAAUUGUUUUAUGCCUAGGACUCAUAA